GUCCUUAUAUUGUCUUCAGCAG
rnacentral:misc_RNA from 1 species